rnacentral:rRNA from 1 species
GAUGAACGCUGGCGGCGUGCCUAAUACAUGCAAGUCGAGCGAACGGACGAGAAGCUUGCUUCGCUGAUGUUAGCGGCGGACGGGUGAGUAACACGUGGAUAACCUACCUAUAAGACUGGGAUAACUUCGGGAAACCGGAGCUAAUACCGGAUGAUAUUUUGAACCGCAUGGUUCAAAAGUGAAAGACGGUCUUGCUGUCACUUAUAGAUGGAUCCGCGCUGCAUUAGCUAGUUGGUAAGGUAACGGCUUACCAAGGCAACGAUGCAUAGCCGACCUGAGAGGGUGAUCGGCCACACUGGAACUGAGACACGGUCCAGACUCCUACGGGAGGCAGCAGUAGGGAAUCUUCCGCAAUGGGCGAAAGCCUGACGGAGCAACGCCGCGUGAGUGAUGAAGGUCUUCGGAUCGUAAAACUCUGUUAUUAGGGAAGAACAUAUGUGUAAGUAACUGUGCACAUCUUGACGUUACCUAAUCAGAAAGCCACGGCUAACUACGUG